GCGGGCCCAGACUGCCUGCCGCCCCCGGGGCACGGGCAUGGGCCGGCUGUGGGACGGGGGGCACCGGGGGAUCGGGAGUCGGGCAAGCAGAGUCCAAAGCUGGCGGUGGCCAGCAGGUGUGCCUGAAUCCCGCACAAAAAGUGUAUGGAGUGGUUCCAGGUCACGGGGGCAGCAUGUCGUCCAGCUCCUGCGUGCAGGGCAGUGUGCCUAAACUGCACUGGGGAGAAAGCCUCUGGUAAUCCUUGGCACGGGAUGCUCCAGGUGUGAAAUGUCGAUGUAAGUUCAGAACCACCCCAAGCGACUUGGUUUAUGGAAGACACGCUCAUUCAAUGGGAUGAGUAUGAAGGAGAUGGACCAGAGCACUGGAAACAGAGAGCCUAAUUAUAACAUAAGCAAAAGAAAAUAAAGUUAACUCCAAAAAUCCCAAAAGCAAUAAACUGCUGACAAGAAGAGCCAUAGACCCAGCAACAAGAAAAUAUGCAGCAAUCUUCAGGCAUUCUGAGUGGAAGGCACUUCACACAGG